rnacentral:rRNA from 1 species
AUACAGGGGGAGCAAGCGUUGUUCGGAAUUACUGGGCGUAAAGGGCGCGUAGGCGGUCUGGAAAGUCCCACGUGAAAUCCCCCGGCUCAACUGGGGAACUGCGCGGGAAACUGCCAGUCUUGAGUUCGGGAGAGGGAAGCGGAAUUCCGGGUGUAGCGGUGAAAUGCGCAGAUAUCCGGAGGAACAUCGGUGGCGAAGGCGGCUUCCUGGACCGACACUGACGCUGAGGCGCGAAAGCUAGGGGAGCAAACGGGAUUAGAAACCCCAGUAGUCC